GUCCUUCGUGAGAGAACAGAUUUGCUAAACGACCUAGUCUGGUUGAGUUUGGUAUUUACCGAGCAAACCAGCUCCCAUCAAUACUGAAAGUAAAAGCACGCAGUGAAGGUGUAGCCAGUUUUGGUGUUUGCCAGACAAUGCCUGAGCCUGUGUAAUCUGAGGACACGUCGAGCGCUUAUUACAGUAAAAAGCUUAUUUUUGCUUCACAACUUUAAUGUAAUGGAUUAAUAAUCUUCAGUAAACAUGGAAUAUCUCAUUGAAACAGAUGCUGAAUCGCAAGAUAUUGUCCCAGACCCAAUGUCUGAACUUUUACCUGACAAUGUCAUCUCAGAAUAUCUCGACUCACUUGAGUUUUUUGAAGAAGAUUUCGAUCCCAAAUUCUUUGAUAACUUUUCAGCAGUCGACACAGACACAACCUGCACGCCAAUACCAGAAGCUGCUUCUUUCCCAGAUGAAGUGCAAAGCAGAAAGCGAAAAGUUGAUGCAACUUCACACAAAACCCGCAGAUCCAAACGCAACAAAAAAGCAACAGCGUGGCCUAAAAGUCCCUCAAACGGAAGGCCGCCCAACAUUACCCCUGAGAGUAGCUUUCUUCUGAGUUCAAACCCAUUCCAGCAUGUAUUGCGCAUUCCCUUGAGCCCCCCUCUUCUGCCCUCUAGUGGAGGUUCACCACUACAAUUCAUCCAGACCAUCGGCCCUUAUACAGCGCCUCUAAUUGGCACUGUGGUUCCAACAGGGCCUACAUACGUGAUUGGUGAGUCCACUGUAAAAGCAUCAUUAAACAGCUGCAUGUGCCUGCAUGCCUGCAUGUUAUUUUAA
rnacentral:lncRNA from 1 species